UGUGGCUUUGACUAAAACCCCAGACAUCUGCCAGAUCAGAUCCGAGUAAGAAAAAGGAAAGUGAUCCAGGUAAAUCUUCCUUUAUCUAAACUUUUUUGAUUUUAGAUCUGUUUAUAAAAUUUAUUUCAGCAUGUUAUAAAAUAUGUAGGUGAUUUAUCUGAUAAAUCUGCAUGCUUUAUAUGAAAAUUGUUUUCAUACCUACUUUCGCUGGGUU
rnacentral:lncRNA from 1 species